AGCCCUGUUCUGGGGAGGUGCCAUUCUGAGGGCCAGGAGUUUGAUUAUGUAUCACUCUGGCUGCUAUGGCCCCCUCCCAGGGUCUGGGC
rnacentral:pre_miRNA from 1 species